UUAAAAAGCGAACGGUGAGCGGGAAGAAACUGGCGGGAGCUUCAGGGAGGGGAAAGAGGCGGGUUGUGGUGUAACACGCGUAGGACGGAGUAGUGGGCAUCUCAAACGGGACGUUAUAACUAAGAGGAAAAGAGAGCAACAAGUGGACGUGGACUUAAAUGGUGAAAGGAGAGGACACGAGCGUACUGCUGUUUCAAGGCUGCAGUAUCGGGGUGACGGCGUCUGAGGCAGAGAAUGGUAGAGCGGUGACGCCACAACGGAACAGGCCGAGUGAAGCGGCUUCUCUCCUCCAUCACGAUUUCUAGGAGCAUGGCUUGUGAAGUGGGGACCUGUGGUUAUCGAUGCAGCAGGAUACAAGGAUGGCUUUGAGCUCGUUUCCUUAAACGAAAGCUCCGACUCGCCUGGAUAAUGGAGUGCGGUCCCUUUU